GUGAACGCUGGCGGUAGGCCUAACCCAUGCCAGUCGAACGGCAGCACCGUAAGAGCUUGCUCUUCCGGGUGGCGAGUGGCGGACGGGUGAGGAAUACAUCGGAAUCUACUUUUUCGUGGGGGAUGACGUAGGGAAACUUACGCUAAUACCGCAUACGACCUACGGGUGAAAGCAGGGGAUCUUCGGACCUUGCGCGAUUGAAUGAGCCGAUGUCGGAUUAGCUAGUUGGCGGGGUAAAGGCCCACCAAGGCGACGAUCCGUAGCUGGUCUGAGAGGAUGAUCAGCCACACUGGAACUGAGACACGGUCCAGACUCCUACGGGAGGCAGCAGUGGGGAAUAUUGGACAAUGGGCGCAAGCCUGAUCCAGCCAUACCGCGUGGGUGAAGAAGGCCUUCGGGUUGUAAAGCCCUUUUGUUGGGAAAGAAAAGCAGCAGGUUAAUACCCCGCUGUUCUGACGGUACCCAAAGAAUAAGCACCGGCUAACUUCGUG
rnacentral:rRNA from 1 species